rnacentral:rRNA from 1 species
UCGAGAAUCAUUCGCAAUGGGCGAAAGCCUGACGAUGCGACGCCGUGUGAGCGAAGAAGGCCUUCGGGUCGUAAAGCUCUUUCGCUUGGGAACAAGAAAGAUUGGCUAAUAUCCAAUCAAUUUGAGCGUACCAGGUAAAGAAGCACCGGCUAACUCCGUGCCAGCAGCUGCGGUAAUACGGAGGGUGCAAGCAUUAAUCGGAUUUAUUGGGCGUAAAGGGCGUGUAGGCGGGGAUAUAAGUCAGAUGUGAAAUCCCGGGGCUCAACCUCGGAACUGCAUUUGAAACUGUAUCUCUAGAGGGUAGGCGGAGAAAACGGAAUUCCACAAGUAGCGGUGAAAUGCGUAGAUAUGUGGAAGAACACCGGUGGCGAAAGCGGUUUUCUAGCUUAUUCCUGACGCUGAUGCGCGAAAGCAAGGGGAUCAAACAGGAUUAGAUACCCGGGUAGUCC